rnacentral:rRNA from 1 species
CAGCCGCCGCGGUAAUACGUAGGGUGCGAGCGUUAAUCGGAAUUACUGGGCGUAAAGCGUGCGCAGGCGGUUCGUUAAGACAGAUGUGAAAUCCCCGGGCUUAACCUGGGAACUGCAUUUGUGACUGGCGAGCUAGAGUAUGGCAGAGGGGGAUGGAAUUCCGCGUGUAGCAGUGAAAUGCGUAGAUAUGCGGAGGAACACCGAUGGCGAAGGCAAUCCCCUGGGCCUGCACUGACGCUCAUGCACGAAGGCGUGGGGAGCAAACAGGAUUAGAGACCCCAGUAGUCCCUGUCUCUUAUAC